GACUCUCUGUGUGCAAAUCAUGAUGACUUGGAGCACUGUCAUGGGAAGUUUUUAUUCAUCUUUACCUAUAUUUAUUGGAUUAGGUUCCAUUGGCAGGUGAGAUUCUUAUCCUAAAUGCUUUAUUCUAUUUUUGCCAAGACACUUCUCCUUAAUAUGUUUAAUAUUCAUAAUAAAUUUCUAAUGCAUUUCUAAUUAGGAUUUUUUCUAAUGGUGAUUAAAUCUGUCAUAGCGUCAACAGGUUAAAGACGAUGUACCCUUUUCCCGUUUAGAUACCAACCAUUGCAUUCAGCAGUCAGAUCUGUUGCUUAUUUAUUUGUAGAAUCAAGUGGGUUAAAAGCAUCUAUUAACGACACUUCAAUAAAACACUCUUUUCUUAUUUGUGUGAGUACUAUUUGUUUCACCUUUUGCACCUCAUCAUCAUAGCAUCUGGUUUCAAAAAUGAAUGACUACUUGCGAAGGUAUUGUUUUUAGUUUCUUCUUUUUGGUUCAACUUCUUUGAUUUUCAGUAGUUGGUCCAUUAAUCAUCUAAAAUUUUCAGUAAGAUGUUUCUACAUCAUAUUCUUGAAUGUUCCUGAUUUCACAUCCAUGGUAUCUGCUUUGCCUUAGUACCUGUUCAAGCUUCACUCAUGAUUUGUUGCUUUCUCCCUAUCAGUCUUACCAUUUUGUUUUGCUUGCUUUACCUUGUAGCUUCUUCCAGUAGUUGUUUUUUUCCUUUAUGUCAGAGCUGCUCUGUCACACUUCUUAUGCUUUUACGAUGUCCUAAUAAAAGUUUUGUGUGGGCAGAUAAUUUUUUGCUUACUACAAACCGUAAGAAACUGAAGCUUACUGAUUUGGGGCUUGCACGAGAGGAAACUAUAACUGAAAUGAUGACGACUGAAACUGGGACAUACCGAUAUGGACAUAGAGGUUAUAAAUCACUCUUUUCCACACUAGAUAUUGAAUAUUAAAAAAAUUAGGAACUAAAGCCGAAAUAAACUGGUUCCUGGAUGUAGUUUCUCGAGUUGAUUCUUCAAAUUAUACAUCAAUUUUGUAUGCCCUCGUGAUAAAUUUCCCCCUGAAGUUUCUAGAGCGCACUGAUUUUAGGACCUUCUAUACAAAGAGAAAUCUGAUGCUCUAGAAUUUGUGUAUGAAGAUUUCUUUAAUAACAAUCGCGAAUAUAAUUAUAUUCUUCAAUUAAGUAAUGAUAAUGUAAUAUUGCAUCCUAUCAUUUACAAUCAGAUAGACAGGUGACCUUAAGUAUAAGGUUUCAAGCUAUUUAACGCUCAAUACUUGUUAUAUAAUUCUCCGUGGUAACAUCAACUGAGUUGGGCAUCAUAAUUGGCACUGAACAUCCAAAGUUAAGUUAGUGCUCACCAUUUCACGAUUAUAUUUUUGGUACUGAUAUUUUCAUAUUUCCAGUUCGUUGAAGAUAGAGGUCUGGCAUUGUAUUGAAGCUCAACUCCGCACGAAAGUGUACAACUUCACAGUUAUGUUCUGGCACUUGAAUUUGCUAUGCUUUUCAUGCAAGGAAUUUCAUGCUAGGAAUACUUACACGUUCAUUCUUAAAUCAUCUUGUUAUAUGGCAUUGUAGAUCUGAUGGAAAAGAACUUUGGUGAUAUAGGCCAGGGCGGAGGACGUUGUCAAUGGAAAACAUGGCUCCACAUGAAGGUUCACUUGCCAAUAGUCUUCAAGAAGAUGCGAAGGUCAUGGUUUUGUGUUGAUGACCCUUGAAAAAAUACCUUCUCAUUUUCUUGUUUGAAGGAACGCUAGGAGGAAUUGAGGAUGCGAAAAAUGUACGGAGGAAAGGGAGACUAGGAGAGGUGCACGGUGAGGCAUUGACGAAUCCUAAAAAGAGAAACUUUUGUCACGGUGUUCUCAUAUCCAAACUUGAAUCAAGUAUGCUUUUUGAAUGGCUUGCACUAAAGCAGAUUAUAAUUCUUAUACUUGUGUUUUGAAUUGACUACAUGUUGUCGUCUCCUCUUGUAUACAUCUUCUGUAUCUACGAUUUUGUGAUGGGUUGUUAAGCUACCAUUCAAGGGAAUGCAUGUUGACAAAUGUAUUGAUGCUUCCUUGAGUCUACUAAUAAUAUAUUUGUAAUGUAUUUUUCACUGAAAAAAGCACCACUAAUAGCACGCUGUAGAAUUUUCUAGCUAAAUAAAUCAAUGUACACUGCCUCGCUAAUAGAAUGCCAUAGUGCGAUAUAGCAUGCUAAUAGCGUAUUUUAAGGCCGCUCCUAUUUUGUUAUAGCGCGCUACUUUUUUGAUUGAUUUUUUUAGAGUUUAUCUCUACUCCUAAUGUCUUAGUUGGUAGUCUCCGUUCCACGGUUAAUUUUCGUCCCACCGAUCGUGGUUUUUUUUGUCCUCCCUCCCACCUUCCAGCGAUUCCCUCCUAAACUGCUGCGCUUCGGAUCCACCUGCCACUUCACCGGAGACGAACACUGUCGCGGAUGCGAGUAGAACGGGACCAGACCGAGCACCCGUGCCUGUUUCAGUAAGCUAGCUGCGCCCGUCCUCGUUGGUCGUGCCGCACACAGCUCGUCGGAGCCCCUAGCCGCGCCGAUGCGGUGGUCGGCGGGCGGAGUCGCAUGGUCGACGGUCACGGUGAUGCGGCAGGGGGAGGGGAGAUGGCCGAGAUGUUGGAGUGAGUGGAGAAGAUAGGUGAAUGAGCCACAAGACCGGCCACGGCAUGGGAUUGAUGCGGUGGUCGGCGGGCGGAGUCGCGCGGUUGCGGGGUCGGUGACUCGCACGGCGAUGCGGUGGGGAGAGGGCGAGAGGUGGCGGNNNNNNNNNNNNNNNNNNNNNNNNNNNNNNNNNNNNNNNNNNNNNNNNNNNNNNNNNNNNNNNNNNNNNNNNNNNNNNNNNNNNNNNNNNNNNNNNNNNNNNNNNNNNNNNNNNNNNNNNNNNNNNNNNNNNNNNNNNNNNNNNNNNNNNNNNNNNNNNNNNNNNNNNNNNNNNNNNNNNNNNNNNNNNNNNNNNNNNNNNNNNNNNNNNNNNNNNNNNNNNNNNNNNNNNNNNNNNNNNNNNNNNNNNNNNNNNNNNNNNNNNNNNNNNNNNNNNNNNNNNNNNNNNNNNNNNNNNNNNNNNNNNNNGGGAUAGUGGUGAGUGAGUGGGGUUAGGGUUGGGAUACGGCGGGGGGAGAGGAAAAGGCGAGGGAUGGCCAGUGAGUCUAGAGGCCAGCGUGCCAGAUGGGCCGUCGAGCCGGCCCGUGAGGCAACUUUGUCAUGCCUGGGCCGGGGAGGCCAGCACGCGUGCCUGUCGGAGAAGUGUCGUGCCUGGCACUACCAAUAUGGAAAUAGGGGUUAUAAAUCACUCUUUUCCACACUAGAUAGUCAAUAUUGAAAAAAUUAGGAACUAAAGCCGAAAUAAAAUGGUUCAUAGUUGUAGUUUCCCGAGUAGAUGCUUCAAAUUAUACUUCAAUUUGUAUGCCCUCGUGAUAAAUUUCCGCCUGAAGUUUCUAGAGCUCACUGAUUUUAGGACCUUCUAUACAAAGAGAAAUCUUAUGCUCUAGAAUUUGUGUAUGAAGCUUGCUUUAAUAACAAUCGCAGAUAUAAUUAUAUUCUUCAAUUAAGUAAUGAUAAUGUAAUAUUACAUCCUGUCAUUUACAAUAAGAUAGACAAGUGACCUUAAGUAUAGGGUUUCAAGCUAUUUAACGCUCAAUGCUUGUUAUAUGAUUCUCCGUGGUAACAUCAACUGAGUUGGCCAUCAUAAUUGGCACUGAACAUCCAAAGUUAAGUUUGUGCUCACCAUUUCACGAUUGUAUUUUUGGUACUGCUAUUUUCAUAUUACUAGUUCGCUGAAGAUAGAGCUCUGGCAUUUUGUUGAAGCUCAACUCAGCAUGAAAGUGUACAACUUCACUGUUAUGUUCUGGCACUUGAAUUUGCUAUGCUUUUCAUGCUACGAAUUUCCUGCUAGAAAUACUUACACAUUCAUUCUUAAAUCAUCUUGUUAUAUGGCAUUGUAGAUCUGAUGGAAAAGAACUUCUAUGAUAUAGGCCAGGGUGGAGGACCUUGUCAAUGGAAAACAUGGCUCCGCAUGAAGGUUCACUCGCCAAUAGUCUUCAAGAAGAUGUGAAGGUCAUGGUUCUGUGUUGAUGCCCCUUGAAAAAAAUAUCUUCUCAUUUUCUUGUUUGAAGGAACGCUAGGAGGAAUUGAGGAUGCGAAAAAUGUACGGAGGAAAGGGAGACUAGGAGAGGUGCACGGUGAGGCAUUGACGAAUCCUAAAAAGAGAAACUAUUGUCACGGUGUUCUCAUAUCCAAACUUGAAUCAAGUAUGCUUUUUGAAUGGCUUGCACUAAAGCAGAGUAUAAUCCUUAUACUUGUGUUUCAAAUUGACUACAUGUUGUCGUCUCCUCUUGUAUACAUCUUCCGCAUAUACCAUUUUGUGAUGCCUUGUUAAGCUACCAUUCAAGGGAAUGCUUGUUGACAAAUGUAUUGAUGCUUCCUUGAGUCUACUACUAAUAUAUUUGUAAUGUAUUUUUCACUGAAGAAAGCACCGCUAAUAGCAUGCUAUAGAAUUGUUAGCUAAAUAAUUCAAUGUACACUGCCUCGCUAAUAGAAUGCCAUAGUGCGAUAUAGCAUGCUAAUAGCGUAUUUUAAGGCCGCUCCUAUUUUUUAAUAGCGCGCUACUUUUUUCAUUGAUUUUUAUAGAGUUUAUCUCUACUCCUAAUGUCUUAGUUGGUAGUCUCCGUCCCACGGUUAAUUUUCGUCCCACCUACCAUGGUUUUUUUCGUCCUCCCUCCCACCUUCCAGCGAUUCCCCCCUGAACUGCCGCACUUCGGAUCCACAUGCCACCUCGCUGGAGGCGAACAUUGCCGCGGAUGCGAGGAGAACGGGACCAGACCGAGCACCUGCGCCCGUUUCUGCCCGUCCUCGUUGGUCGCGCCGCACACAGCUCGUCGGAGCCCCUAGCCGCGCCGAUGCGGUGGUCGGUGGGCGGAGUCGCAGGGCCGACGCUCGCGGCGAUGCGGCAGGGGUAGGGGAGAUGGCCGAGAUGUUGGAGUGAGUGGAGAAGAUAGGUGAAUGAGCCACAAGACCGGCCGCGGCAUGGGACUGAUGCGGUGGUCGGCGGGAGGAGUCACGCGGUUGCGGGCUCGGCGACUCACGCGGCGAUGCGGUGGGGAGAGGGCGAGAGGUGGCGGGUGAGUGGAGAGGACCGGUGAGUGAGCCCCAAGUUCUGCCGCGGCAUGUGACAGAUCGGCGGUCGACGGGCGGAGUCGCGCGGGCCGGCUCGUCGAGGCACGCGGCGAUGCGGCGGGGGAGGGUAAAGUGCGAGAGGAAUUGAGUGAGUGAAGGGGAGAGUGGUGAGUGAGUGGGGUUAGGGUUGGGAUACGGCGGCGGGAGCGGAAAAGGCGAGGGGUGGCCAGUGAGCCCAGAGGCCAGCAUGCCAGAUGGGCCGUAGAGCCGGCCCGUGAGGCAACUUUGUCGUGCCUGGGCCGAGGAGGCCAGCACGCGUGCCUGGCCGGGAAGUGUCAUGCCUGGCCCUACCGAUAUGGAAACAGAGGUUAUAAAUCACUCUUUUCCACACUAGAUAGUCAAUAUUAAAAAAAUCAGGAACUAAAGCCGAAAUAAAAUGGUUCCUGGUUGUAGUUUCCCGAGUUGAUUCUUCAAAUUAUACUUCAAUUUGUAUGCCCUCGUGAUAAAUUUCUGCCUAAAGUUUCUAGAGCUCACUGAUUUUAGGACCUUCUAUACAAAGAGAAAUCUGAUGCUCUAGAAUUUGUGUAUGAAGAUUGCUUUAAUAACAAUCACAGAUAUAAUUAUAUUCUUCAAUUAAGUAAGGAUAAUGUAAUAUUACAUCUUGUCAUUUACAAUAAGAUAGACAAGUGACCUUAAGAAUAGGGUUUCAAGCUAUUUAACGCUCAAUGCUUGUUAUAUAAUUCUCCAUGGUAACAUCAACUGAGUUGGGCAUCAUAAUUGGCACUAAGCAUCCAAAGUUAAGUUCGUGCUCACCAUUUCAUGAUUAUAUUUCUGGUACUGAUAUUUUCAUAUUACCAGUUCGCUGAAGAUAGAGCUCUAGCAUUGUAUUGGAGAUCAACUCCGCAUGAAAGUGUACAACUUCACUGUUUUGUUCUGGCACUCGAAUUUGCUAUGCUUUUCAUGCCAGGAAUUUCAUGCUAGGAAUACUUACACGUUCAUUCUUAAAUUGUCUUGUUAUAUGGCAUUGUAGAUCUGAUGGAGAAGAACUUAUGUGAUAUAGGCCAGGGCGGAGGAUGUUGUCAAUGAAAAACAUGGCUCCGCAUGAAGGUUCACUCGCCAAUAGUCUUCAAGAAGAUGCGAAGGUCAUGGUUUUGUGUUGAUUACCCUUGACAAAAAUAUCUUCUCAUUUUCUUGUUUGAAGGAACGCUAGGAGGAACGGAGGAAAGGGAGACUAGGAGAGAUGCACGGUGAGGCAUUGACGAAUCCUAAAAAGAGAAACUUUUGUCAUGGUGUUCUCAUAUCCAAACUUGAAUCAAGUGUGCUUUUUGAAUGGCUUGCACUAAAGUAGAGUAUAAUUCUUAUACUUGUGUUUUAAAUUGACUAUAUGUUGUCGUCUCCUCUUGUAUACAUGUUCCGUAACUACCAUUUUGUGAUGGGUUGUUAAGCUACCAUUCAAGGGAAUGCAUGUUGACAAAUGUAUUGAUGCUUUCUUUAGUCUACUAAUAAUAUAUUUGUAAUGUAUUUUUCGCUGAAAAAAACACUGCUAAUAGCACGGCAUAGAAUUUUCUAGCUAAAUAAAUCAAUGUACACUGCCUCGCUAAUAGAAUGCCAUAGUGCGAUAUAGCAUGCUAAUAGCGUAUUUUAAUGCCGCUCCUAUUUUGUUAUAGCGUGCUACUUUUUUCAUUGAUUUUUAUAGAGUUUAUCUCUACUCCUAAUGUCUUAGUUGGUAGUCUUUGUUCCACGAUUAAUUUUCGUCCCACCUAUCAUGGUUUUUUUCGUCCUCCCUCCCACUUCCCAGUGAUUCCCCCCUGAACUACCGCGCUUCGGAUCCACCUUCCACCUCGCCAGAGACGAACACCGCCGCGGAUGCGAGGAGAACGGGACCAGAUCGAGCACCCGCGCCCGUUUUCAGUAAGCUAGUUGCGCCCGUCCUCGUUGGUCGCGCCGCACACAACUCGUCGGAGCCCCUAGCCGCGCCGAUGCGGUGGUCGGUGGGCGGAGUCGCACGGUCGACGCUCGUGGCGAUGCGGCGGGGGGAGGGGAGAUGGCCGAGAUGUUGGAGUGAGUGGAGAAGAUAGGUGAAUGAGCCACAAGACCGGCCGCGGCAUGGAACUGAGGCGGUGGUCGGCGGGUGGAGUUGCGCGGUUGCGGGCUCGGCGACUUGCGCGGCGAUGCGGUGGGGAGAGGGCAAGAGGUGGCGUGUGAGUGGAGAGGACCGGUGAGUGAGCCCCAAGAUCUGCCACGGCAUGUGACAGAUCGGUCGUCGGCGGGCGGAGUCUCGCGGGCCGGCUCGUCGAGGCAUGCAGCAAUGCUGCGGGGGAGGGUAAAGUGCGAGAGGAAUUGAGUGAGUGGAGUGGAGAGUGGUGAGUGAGUGGGGUUAGGGUUGGGAUACGGCGGGGGGAGCGGAAGAGGCGAGGGGUGGCCAGUGAGCCCAGAGGCCAGCGUGCCAUAUGGGCCGUCGAGCCCGCCCGUGAGGCAACUUUGUCGUGCCUGGGCCGGGGAGGCCAGCACGCGUGCCUGGCCGGGAAGUGUCGUGCCUGGCCCUGCUGAUAUGGGAACAAAGGUUAUAAAUUACUCUUUUCCACACUAGAUAAUCAAUAUUAAAAAAAUUAGGAACUAAAGCCAAAAUAAAAUGGUUCCUGCUUGUAGUUUCCCGAGUUGAUUCUUCAAAUUAUACUUCAAUUUGUAUGCCCUCGUCAUAAAUUUCCGUCUAAAGUUUCCAGAGCUCACUGGUUUAAGGACCUUUUAUACAAAAAGAAUUCUGAUGCUCUAGAAUUUCCGUAUGAAGAUUGCUUUAAUAACAAUCGCAAAUAUAAUUAUAUUCUUUAAUUAAGUAAUGAUAAUGUAAUAUUACAUCCUGCCAUUUAAAAUAAGAUAGACAAGUGACCUUAAGUAUAGGGUUUCAAGCUAUUUAACGCUCAAUGCUUGUUAUAUAAUUCUCGGUGGUAACAUCAACUGAGUUGGGCAUCAUAAUUGGCACUGAACAUCCAAAGAUAAGUUCGUGCUCACCAUUUCACGAGUAUAUUUUUGGUACUGAUAUUUUCAUAUUACCACUUCACUGAAGAUAGAGCUCUGGCAUUAUAUUGAAGCUCAACUCCGCAUGAAAGUGUACAACUUCACUGUUAUGUUCUGGCACUCGAAUUUGCUAUUCUUUUCAUGCUAGGAAUACUUACACAUUCAUUCGUAAAUCAUCUUGUUAUAUGGCAUUGUAGAUAUGAUGGAAAAGAACCUCUGUGAUAUAGGCCAGGGUAGAGGAGGUUGUCAAUGGAAAACAUGGCUCCGCAUGAAGGUUCACUCGCCAAUAGUCUUCAAGAAGAUGUGAAGGUCAUGGUUCUGUGUUGAUGCCCCUUGAAAAAAAUAUCUUUUCAUUUUCUUGUUUGAUGGAACGUUAGGAGGAAUUGAGGAUGCGAAAAAUGUACGGAGGAAAGGGAGACUAGGAGAGGUGCACGGUGAGGCAUUGACGAAUCCUAAAAAGAGAAACUUUUGUCACGGUGUUCUCAUAUCCA
rnacentral:lncRNA from 1 species